ACGGAUAUCUCGGCUCAUGCAUCGAUGAAGAAAGUAGCAAAUUGCGAUACUUGGUGUGAUUUGCAGAAUCCCGUGAACCAUAGAGUUUUUGAAAGCAAGUUGCUCCCG
rnacentral:rRNA from 1 species